rnacentral:rRNA from 1 species
UACGUAGGGUGCAAGCGUUGUCCGGAAUUAUUGGGCGUAAAGAGCUCGUAGGCGGCCUGUUGCGUCCGCUGUGAAAUCCCGGGGCUCAACCCCGGGCCUGCAGUGGAUACGGGCUGGCUAGAGGCAGGCAGGGGAGAACGGAAUUCCUGGUGUAGCGGUGAAAUGCGCAGAUAUCAGGAGGAACACCAAUGGCGAAGGCAGCUCGCUGGGACGUGACUGACGCUGAGACGCGAAAGCGUGGGGAGCAAACAGG